rnacentral:rRNA from 1 species
AUUGAACGCUGGCGGCAUGCCUUACACAUGCAAGUCGAACGGUAACGCGGGGCAACCUGGCGACGAGUGGCGAACGGGUGAGUAAAGCAUCGGAACGUGCCCAGUAGUGGGGGAUAGCCCGGCGAAAGCCGGAUUAAUACCGCAUACGACCUACGGGUGAAAGGGGGGGAUCGCAAGACCUCUCGCUAUUGGAGCGGCCGAUGUCAGAUUAGGUAGUUGGUGGGGUAAAGGCCUACCAAGCCUGCGAUCUGUAGCUGGCCUGAGAGGACGACCAGCCACACUGGGACUGAGACACGGCCCAGACUCCUACGGGAGGCAGCAGUGGGGAAUUUUGGACAAUGGGCGCAAGCCUGAUCCAGCCAUGCCGCGUGCGGGAAGAAGGCCUUCGGGUUGUAAACCGCUUUUGUCAGGGAAGAAAAGCCUUGGGUUAAUACCCUGGGGUGAUGACGGUACCUGAAGAAUAAGCACCGGCUAACUACGUGCCAGCCGCCGCGGUAA